AGAGUUUGAUCAUGGCUCAGAUUGAACGCUGGCGGCAGGCCUAACACAUGCAAGUCGAGCGGAUGAGAGGAGCUUGCUCCUGGAUUCAGCGGCGGACGGGUGAGUAAUGCCUAGGAAUCUGCCUGGUAGUGGGGGACAACGUUUCGAAAGGAACGCUAAUACCGCAUACGUCCUACGGGAGAAAGCAGGGGACCUUCGGGCCUUGCGCUAUCAGAUGAGCCUAGGUCGGAUUAGCUAGUUGGUGAGGUAAUGGCUCACCAAGGCGACGAUCCGUAACUGGUCUGAGAGGAUGAUCAGUCACACUGGAACUGAGACACGGUCCAGACUCCUACGGGAGGCAGCAGUGGGGAAUAUUGGACAAUGGGCGAAAGCCUGAUCCAGCCAUGCCGCGUGUGUGAAGAAGGUCUUCGGAUUGUAAAGCACUUUAAGUUGGGAGGAAGGGUUGUAGAUUAAUACUCUGCAAUUUUGACGUUACCGACAGAAUAAGCACCGGCUAACUCUGUGCCAGCAGCCGCGGUAAUACAGAGGGUGCAAGCGUUAAUCGGAAUUACUGGGCGUAAAGCGCGCGUAGGUGGUUUGUUAAGUUGGAUGUGAAAUCCCCGGGCUCAACCUGGGAACUGCAUCCAAAACUGGCAAGCUAGAGUAUGGUAGAGGGUGGUGGAAUUUCCUGUGUAGCGGUGAAAUGCGUAGAUAUAGGAAGGAACACCAGUGGCGAAGGCGACCACCUGGACUGAUACUGACACUGAGGUGCGAAAGCGUGGGGAGCAAACAGGAUUAGAUACCCUGGUAGUCCACGCCGUAAACGAUGUCAACUAGCCGUUGGGAGCCUUGAGCUCUUAGUGGCGCAGCUAACGCAUUAAGUUGACCGCCUGGGGAGUACGGGCCGCAAGGUUAAAACUCAAAUGAAUUGACGGGGG
rnacentral:rRNA from 1 species